rnacentral:lncRNA from 1 species
UCUAGAAUAUUGACCAAGAUAUACAUAUUUGAGAUUCAGAUACAUUAAAAUUUAUAGAAUAGCUUGUUCAAAAGAACAAGUACCUAAAUUCUAUAUCAGGUACAAGGAAAUGAAAGUUCCAUUACACAAUGGUAAAUAAUCAUCAGACAUAUCUAUCAGACUAAUCUAACAAAACAAGGAAUAAACUAAUGUAAUAAAAUCUUCCAUCUUCAAUCCUUAGUUUCUUCUUACCCCUGACUCGUUUAAUCUGCUUAUCUGAAAAAAAUAAAAAGGAGUGGGAUGAGACAUAAAGCCUCGGUGAGUCCCACCUAUCUUAGGGUGAUACUAAUAUCCUUUGUCCUGACAGUUGAUUAAUUACAUAAACAUAUACAUAUUCAUUUCACGAUUAUUUUCAGUAUAAUGCAAAUAAAGUGUGACACAAAAUUAUUUGUCUGAGUUGAUUUUACGGAAUAAUUCGAGGUGAGUAGUCUCGAACCAUUCCCUUACAUACCCGGCUAAAUUCCCUAUCAUUUCGGGGCUAAAGCGUACGGUCAUACCUCAUCUUAUCGUUGUGUGAAAUUCUAUAUAGAAUUUCAAUCCAGCUCCAACUCCUACAUAAGGAAGCCUUUCUGGUGCCUUAUAGACCACAACUUAACAUAUUAUUCAUCAUAGACAUUUAGCAUUAUAAAUCUAACACUUGUGGCCCAAAGUCCACUAUAUUUCAAGAUCAACUGUCAAUAUUCUUACCUGUCCUGAAUUAACUUAUAAUGCAUCUAGUCCAUAGUUUUCUGUUUGUUUUCCCUACCCAACCUAUGCAAUUUAUUAAGCUAACUACUAUAUUUUUCAUUCCCAUAUGAUCUUAUUCCAUUAGGGACAUUACGGUGUCCCAAAAGCGUCCGAAAAUGCAAAACAGUGCAAACGGGGCUGCUGGAUGUAGCUCCAGGCACAGGAACAGUCUGGGAAACACUGUUAUUUGCGCUUCCAGCGCAGUGGUCCGCGCNNNNNNNNNNNNNNNAGAGGGCAGAAUGCCCAGGUGGCCAGUUUCCUGCAAAAAAAUUCAGUUUGUACCAUUAUCCUCACACAGUCCUAGCCUUACUCUAGAUGCAUUUUAGUGACAAUUUAGGCCAACAGUUAGUAGCACAACAAGGGCAAGGUAAGUCACCAAGAUUCAUAAAUAACAUGCAUUAAAUCUAUACAAUUUGAGAGAACUAAUCUAAAGGGGCAAUCUCAUCAAAGUGCAAUUUCUCAUGAAAUAGUUUCUAGUUCUAACUACCCGAAAACCCAAUUCUCCAUGAGAAUAGUGGGGAGACUAUAUUGGUAAGGAUUUCUAUCUGUGGAACUCACCUCUGUAAUUGUAGCUCUCUCAACACUUGAUUAUUACAACCACAACAUAGUCUACAUCAAAAGCUUGUUCUCCAAUCUAGUCUAGUGCUCCAAUUGAAUCUGUCUUAUAAUUCUUUUCAAUCCAAACUUCCAACCUCAUGUGUCAAGGGAACUUCUGGAACUAAAAAGGAAAACGAAACUUCAAGCUUCAGGUACCNNNN